rnacentral:rRNA from 1 species
UAAUACAGAGGGUGCGAACGUUGCUCGGAAUUACUGGGCGUAAAGCGCGUGUAGGCGGGUUCGCAAGUCAGACGUGAAAUCCCCGGGCUCAACCCGGGAACUGCGUCUGAAACUGCGAGCCUUGAGUACCGGAGAGGGUGGCGGAAUUCCUGGUGUAGAGGUGAAAUUCGUAGAUAUCAGGAGGAACACCGGUGGCGAAGGCGGCCACCUGGACGGUAACUGACGCUGAGACGCGAAAGCGUGGGGAGCAAACAGGAUUAGAUACCCUGGUAGUCCACGCCGUAAACGAUGGGUGCUAGGUGUCUCGGGUAUUGACCCCUGAGGUGCCGUAGCUAACGCGUUAAGCACCCCGCCUGGGAAGUACGGUCGCAAGACUA